AGUGAACGCUGGCGGUAGGCCUAACACAUGCAAGUCGAACGGCAGCACAGGAGAGCUUGCUCUCUGGGUGGCGAGUGGCGGACGGGUGAGGAAUACAUCGGAAUCUACUCUGUCGUGGGGGAUAACGUAGGGAAACUUACGCUAAUACCGCAUACGACCUACGGGUGAAAGCAGGGGACCUUCGGGUCUUACGCGAUUGAAUGAGCGGAUAGCGGAUUAGCUAGUUGGCGGGGUAAAGGCCCACCAAGGCGACGAUCCGUAGCUGGUCUGAGAGGAUGAUCAGCCACACUGGAACUGAGACACGGUCCAGACUCCUACGGGAGGCAGCAGUGGGGAAUAUUGGACAAUGGGCGCAAGCCUGAUCCAGCCAUACCGCGUGGGUGAAGAAGGCCUUCGGGUUGUAAAGCCCUUUUGUUGGGAAAGAAAUCCAGCUGGCUAAUACCCGGUUGGGAUGACGGUACCCAAAGAAUAAGCACCGGCUAACUUCGUGCCAGCCGCCGCAGUAA
rnacentral:rRNA from 1 species